rnacentral:rRNA from 1 species
AACGAACGCUGGCGGCAUGCCUAACACAUGCAAGUCGAACGAGACCUUCGGGUCUAGUGGCGCACGGGUGCGUAACGCGUGGGAACCUGCCCUUAGGUUCGGAAUAACUCCCCGAAAGGGGUGCUAAUACCGGAUAAUGUCUUCGGACCAAAGAUUUAUCGCCUUUGGAUGGGCCCGCGUUGGAUUAGCUAAUUGGUAGGGUAAAAGCCUACCAAGGCGACGAUCCAUAGCUGGUCUGAGAGGAUGAUCAGCCACACUGGGACUGAGACACGGCCCAGACUCCUACGGGAGGCAGCAGUGGGGAAUAUUGGACAAUGGGCGAAAGCCUGAUCCAGCAAUGCCGCGUGAGUGAUGAAGGCCUUAGGGUUGUAAAGCUCUUUUACCCGGGAUGAUAAUGACAGUACCGGGAGAAUAAGCUCCGGCUAACUCCGUG